rnacentral:lncRNA from 1 species
GAAUAGGUCACAACAAUCAGUCCUCAUUACGUAGUAAACUCUCAUUUUGUAAACAUAAUUAAGAUGAAAACUUGUGCUGUUUUUCUUGUAGUUUGUCUGGCCAUUGGCACUGUGGUAAAGAGUGAGCAAUGUGACGAUACGAUAUGCUACCCUAAUCUGGGAUUUAUUAUGAACAGAGCAAUAAAUGUUCAAAUUUGUGGUAGUGAUGGUGUUACAUAUCAUGACGACUGAGAGUUCAAGAAAGCUUACUGCAGAGACAAUACAUUGCGUAUACACAAAAUAGGACACUGUAAAGUAAAAACAAAGCAUGUGUCGAAAAUGUUGGAAUAAAAAGGCAAAUAUCUGUAUGUUGUUUUCAGUUCCAGUUCUAGUACAUUAAUGAUAUUAUUAUCUAUUAUCUUGGAGAAGUUUCAUAAUUAUAGUUGAAAGAUAUGGUGACACAAUUACACAUCUAUUUGUCCCAUUGUUUCAUAUACAUGUGUCACUCAAGCUGUAAACGAUGGCUAAAAUUACGGUAAAAUAAAAUUAGAUAAAUUAUUCAUAAUGCUGAUGCACACAGCACAUUAUCUGCAGCAAACUACAUACUGUUUCGAAAGCCCGACACCUAUCGACACGUUUUAAAAGCAUCCUAAUAAGCCUAUUGGAAGCGUAUGCUAAAACAAUAAAAUAAAGGUAUUAUUAAUAAUUCAGCAGCUAACUGUUAUAUUUAAAAAUAUUGUUAGAACUUUAGGUUUAAGUCUAACACUGUACUUGUUUGAUUGGUAACAUUUUACCUUGUAUUGACUGGUUUCAUAAUCUAAUAAUUAAUGUGUUAUGUCAUGUAUAGUUAAAUAAGUCUGAUAGAUAACGAUAUGUCCGUCGAUACAUAGGUUACACAACUGUUAAAUAAAAGAAAUAAUGCGUACAUUGUGUCGUACUCUUAAAUAAUUUAUUUUCCUGGUUUGAAUGGAACAACUAUUUUGUCGGGGUAUGAAUUCGAAAAUUCAAUUUUCAAAAAUUAAGAAAUAUACUAUUUACUGGUUUCAUUUAAUUUUCAUGAGUUGGGUUGGUUUAACCAAAAGAAUUAAUGGAAAUUAGCUUUUUGUCCUCCUAAAAUAUAAACGAUUUAUCAUUAUUCUGGAAGUGCAGUUGUAUAUUCAAUAUAUUUGCACUCACUGAUAAGCCAUUCACAGCGAAACUAGUUUGUGACAUUUUAAUUAAAAUUUAAGAAAAUCUAAGCGAGCGUGUGAAGUCAUUCUAUAAUUUUACAAUUAUAUAUAAUACAUAUACAUGUAUAUGUCCAGCGUUGUAAUGAAAGAAUUAAGAAAUAGUGGCGUUACAUUUGUACUUCUCGGACGUAAGGCAAUCUUAGAUGUGAACCACUAUUGUUUUUUUUUUCAAACAACUUACACGUUUACAGAAGAAGCGCGAAAACAGUCGUUGACUUACCAAAUGAAAAUCUUUUUAUGAAAAAGUUUAUUAAAUCAAGGACAAGAACACAUCUUAAAUCACGUAGAUAUUAUGUAGUAUCAAUGCUAUUUAACUGUACUGACCUUUCCUAAUUCUGCAGGGAUACAUUAUAACAACUAUUGUUCGCCAACAGAACAAAUAACCUAAUUCUGGUUAAUUGUAAUUAGCUAAUGCUUUUAAAGUUCAUACCUGAAUGAGCGUUUUCUGUUCGGAGGAAGUUGCUGAUAUGAUUGGAUUAAUCUGCGUCACUUUUACCAUGGCAACGGAUUGUCAAGUAGGCGUCAGUAUAGCUGGAAGCUUAAUGUGAUUAAGAAUAUGAUAUCAUUAGAAAAUAAGUAAGUCGAAAAUAGCGGCAAAAUUAAGUUAUUUGAUUAUCCAAAGAAUUAACUCAGUAGCAAAUGUUUUGUUUGAAAAGCAUAAAACCGUUUGUAUUGUAAAACGUUUGUUCAUGAUUUUAAAAUUAGAAAUGAUCGGAAAAUUAAAUACAAUUUUUACGCCAUUUGAAACAAAACAUAGUAAAUGUAUUUAAAAUAAUACUAAAACAAAGAUUAAUAUAGAUUAGAAUCAACCAUGUUCCAAUAACGUAGCCUUAGGGAGCUAAUGUAAAAACAAUCAUCAAGCAAUCGAUUCUUCUAGAUUUGUUCGGGCUACAAAACUGCAAAUCAAUAAAUUUCUAUUUAUUACUAAAUAUGCAGUUUUUGUCUGUGUAACAUAUGAACACACAAUGAAUGUACAAAUUUGAUUGAAAAAUUGAAUCACCUGAGCACCUUGAUUGAUACGAUUCAAUAAAUUCGAAUCUAAACCCUAGCGACAAAGUUAAUAAUAAUUUGACAGAAACGUUUCUUUUAAAUAACUGCAAAUACAUGUUUGUAUAAACAAUCAACCAACGGUUUUGCUGAAAAUAAAAACUAAUCCAACUAAAUGAUUCGUUAUGUCAGGAAGUGAAGGCAUAUAGAUUAAUUAUACUUUCAUUCUUCUAAAACAAUUUAAACAUCAGAAACUUGAAAAGCUAAGUAUCGCUUUUAUUGAGUAUUGUUUUAACAUGGAAACCCUUUAAAAGUCGUGACAUUUCUUGCGUUUGAAAUUGCAAUGCCACAAUAUUUUACAUUCCAGAGAAGUUCAUAAGUAUUCAUAUUGCAUUACACUAGAUAAAAAUCUAAAUAUAAGUGCAUUGUAGCAGUGUUUAUACGCUCGUAUUUUCGGCAUUAAAAUUAAAUCAAAGCAACAAACGUUGCAAGAGAUAUCACUCUUUGUCUCUAAGACUUCAUCAAAUCAUAUGAACGUUGGUUAAUGGCGUAGUACAAAUUUAGAAUGUACUUGACUGCCACUUCGAUAAUCAUAGGCCUUGUUGGUAACGAUAAGACAUAAAUAUAGGUCACCAAGAGCUUCAAACUAUGUCGUGUCAACGUUUGAAAGUUUAUAAAUACUAUGCUCUUGUCAUAACCUUAAUCAAGGUUUUUAAACAUAUUUUUACAGCUGUAAUUUUAAGAUGGUACAGCAUAGAAAAUAUUACAAUGGAAGAGAGUUUUGAACAAAACGAAGUGCAUAUACAGUGGUAUUCAUGUUUCCGUCAAAAUAGGCAACAGCUAUAAUAGGAUGUUAUGGUAUUUAAAUUUACUUUUUAGAAUAUGAGCUAUUUUGUCGCCCCUUCUAUGAAAUUCCGAAUACUAACCCCUCUAAUUUAACUGAUUCUGAAUCCAUCCAUCCUCGCAUUGUAACUCACUUACAAUUAUGUGAUUCACUGAAGAAGAUGAAUGCGUCAGCAAAAUAGUUAAGAUGUUGAAGCAGUCGGAUAACAGACACCUUCUCCAGCUGAAACAAGUGACUCAGCUGCAAUAUUAUUUAACUGAUGUUGAAAAUAUUUAUCUUUUUCACAUAUUAUGUUCAAAAUUGAUGAGGCAUGAAAAGCAUGUUCUUAAUCAUGAUGCUUUCUGUGAAAUACAGUUCUAACAAAAAUAUAUAUAACAUUGAAACUCGUCAAGUAUUAACACAUGUGUGUUAUUAAUGUAAAGUUUGGGUCUAAAUUAAAAACAAAUCUUCACAUAACAAAUUAAGAUACACAUUGUACCAUGAUGCUAGCAGAAUGAUUGUUUUCUUUCGUUUUAACAAGACUACAAUCACAAAUUAAAUGUUUUAUAUUUAGAAAUUACUGGUAAAGUUCCAUAAGGCUUUAAAUGUUAUAUCAAAGGCAGCAGUUGAAACAGCUGUACAAAUACAUGGUAUGCAUAAUAACAUGUUGAGAAAAGCGCUACUUUUAAUACUGUACAUGAACUUUUAUGUAGUUAAAGCCAUAAAGGGGGAGUACCGUGGGGGGAUCAAAAGCAACAUAUUCAAUCAAACAUUCUACUAUUUUCUUUAAUAUUCAAGCCUUUGACAAAUAUUAGAGAAAACAAUAAUUAGAAACAGGAUUUAACAACAACUUAGUAUGUUUUAUGUUCAUUGCGGAAAUCGUGGCAGCCACAUUUUAAACAAAGACAUUAUAAGCCUUUAAGUGAUGAAUGUAACAGUAAGACAUAAUGUUGUUAGACUAAUAUAGUUAUAAAACUGUACUUCAGCUAGACCAUAAUGCUAUGAAUUAUAGAAUGCGUCUACUUUACUUUAUUUUGCUGUUCACAUAAUUAGCUAAUUCAGUUUGUAGCAUGGGUUUUCAUCCAGGUCCUUUCCACUAAAUACAAAUAACAUAAGGAAAACCUUUCAAACGCAUAACUACAACGAGAACAAUUACAUUUUCGUAACUUUAUAACUUUUAUAAAUUGAAGCAUUUACGUCCGGAUUAACAGCAUGCUCUAUUUCUUCGAUUUCAAUUAAAUUGUCUGAAGCUGAUCAGGUUAUACAUUUGAUUAAACUGUUCUUUUUACAGAAUCGUAUAAAUCCAUAUUAAGCUUUAUUUUGUAAAUAUACUGUUCAUAAGAAAUUAGACUUUCUGAAAUAGCUGUUUCCGUUUGUUAACCGGCUUUCUCUUGAGAAUAUAUCAAUCGAAUAUCUUACCUGAAAACAGUCAAUGCAAGUUUUUUUAUCUUAUAUUGUAGCAUUUGCCCAAACUCUAAUUUCUUUGAAUUAUAUAGUUCAAAGAUGUAUAAAUACAAUACACAGAAUCACAACUGGAGAUAAUCUCGCGUAGGCACGUAUCACCUCGUUAUCUUACUGAAGCGUUUGCUGACUUGAUCACUCGUGUUGCAUUUGACAUUAAAAUCAGCUUCCCGUUCAUUCUGUUCACCAGACGGAACAACUGCGACGUCAUCUAAGGAACGUUCUCCCUAAAUAUACACGGACGUCGUCAAAACAGCGGCCCAUUAUCACUAAGCAGCGUUGCCUUUCCUUUUGCUAAUCAUACGAAAUAACGUCGUAAUUUUCAAUGGAAAAGAAUAGGGCGAAUGUAAAUAUAUAUAACUGUAGAAAAUUUUAAUAUGCUCGUAUUAAAAACAAAUUAUGUUGUAUUAAGACACAUUUUUUGUUAAGAAACCUCUUUUUUGCCCUCCGCUUAGCUGGUCUUGUAAUGAAAUGACCCUGCAUUUAAUUUUUCCCGAGGUGACCUCACCUUUAGAUUUUCACUUUGGCUACGUGACUAUAGAUAAAAUCGUGACAUAGCAAUCCUUUUUUGUCGAAAGGUCGACAUUUUGGCAGAGCAGAGGUCACAGCAAUCAGUUCUCUCACUACACAGCAAGUAACCAUUUUGUCAAGACUACUUUUACAUGAUUAAAAUGAAAACGUGUUUCAUUUUCAUUGCAGUAUGUCCUGGUCAUUGGCAGUGUUGUAACAAGUGAUCCAUGUGAGAAUGUCUAUUGCCGCAUUGGUCUUGGAUUUGUCAUGAACAGAGCAUAUAGCUUUCCUGUUUGCGGCAGUAAUGGUGUUACGUAUAAUGACUUCUGCGAUUUCAAGAAAGCACACUGCAGAAACAGUACAUUGGUUCUUAGCAAAGUAGGAGCAUGUUAAAUUGAAUUCAGAACGUGUACUGGAAACCAUUAAAAUAAAGGAGACUAUUUUUCUGUU